UCAGAACAUACUAUUUCUGGCAAGUAC
rnacentral:sRNA from 1 species